CUCAGGAGAGCAUUCCCACCCCAUC
rnacentral:piRNA from 1 species